UAAUGGAACGCCUCACGGCUUAGCUAUUCAAACCUCUGUACACCUGUGCACCUUCUGUGGCUAAUUUACUACAAACAUGGUGUAAUGAACGUCAAGUAUAUCAUACAAUAC
rnacentral:misc_RNA from 1 species